AUGUUGUUUGUUUUUUUCUAUUUUUAUGCAAUUUUGGAUGUUUGGACUGGUUAUGGGUGUAGGUUUUGGAUUGGUCAUGUAGUGGUGCAGGGACCUGUUUUCAAUAACAUGUUCUUGGCUUAUUGUGGACAACAACAUGACAUGGUUUAUUGCAAGUUUGUUUGCAGCUUUAAUGAACUGCUUUUGUGUGGCUUGGCAGGUUUUGUAGGUUAUUUUUGUGCAGGUUUAGGAGUGACUUGA